rnacentral:lncRNA from 1 species
UCUCCUCAAGAAGUCAAAUCCACCCUCCAAAACUCCUCGAAGUCUUGCCACCUCUGCAGACAGGUUGGAGACCUCUGUGAUGUCCUCAUGCAGCUGGGGAUGGGCUAAGGCUAAUACCUAUCUCUGAAAAUCUAGAACUCUGUCCUCAAUCUCAGAACACAUCCCUCAAGCUCUUCAAGUCGUACGGACUGAGCUGUGAGCAUCUAAAAAAUAGUAGAGAUAUGAGGGAUCAAAGUCUGGUCUAAGUCAUCCUGAGAUGUCGACCUCUGAGCAAAGACUGAGGUGGCAAACUACUGAGAUAAAAUGGAGGCAACACGCUGUGACAUCAGCUCAAUCUGACCAUCUACAAGUCUAAACUCUGAAGGAUGUAUCCUGCUCCUUGACUGUGGAACUGAAGCAUGCCUCCUUACUGACUCUGAGGGACCAGCCUCAUGAUCAAACAUAAAUUGAAUAUCAGGAGAUGCUCUGUGAUCACGAGGAGGCGAAGACAGUCUCUCCUCCUCUGCUCUCUCCUCAACACCCUUUGACCAACCGCCAUCAGUCGUUGAAAAAUCCAUACGGUGCAGUGUGUAGCGGUUGAUGGUGUCAGAGUGUGACAAUUUGGUAACUGCCUCUCCCUCAAAAUAAACUCCG